AUCACAAUGCCCUGAUCAAAAGUCCCACCUAGAAUGAGUUUCUUCCAUUAAAAGCAUGAUGUCCGUGCCUGAACUCCCAGGCUUUCAUUUUUCCCUGUUAACUAUCAGCCUGAUUCAUCUCAGGGUUUAUUUGCCCCCAAAGCAAAUUCCAGAAUCAUUUUGUCACGGAUUCAAUCUCUGAGCUGUAAAAAACACGCAUUAGAUUAUGUUUCAUUAGAUUAUGCUUCAAAAAACUGCUUUAAUAGUUACAAAGUUUAAAAGCCCAAUUCAAAAAGAAUCUGAAUGGAACUUUUUACAUCCAGAUAAGAGUAGUUGUUUUCAAGGUUGUCCUCAUUUGGUGUUACUGCUAAGAAAGUUCUGGAAACUUUUCAGAAGCUAAGGUCAAUUCUUUGAAUAUCUUGUGAGGUGCCAGAUCUUUUUCCUUUGUUUGCAGCUUUGCUUUCCAGAAACAACAUGCAAUGUAUCUUUUGAGGUAUGCGGAUGGUCAGUUGGACAACACUGUUUGGGUCUAAUGUCCCAUUCGGACUCAUAGGAUGGAUUUUCUUGUGUGUUUUGUAACUCAAUUCUGACAGCAAUCCCAGAAGAGUUUCAUAGGUAUUUGAAGCAAAGUUAAGAAGUACAUCUUCCCAACGUGGCUGUUUUAGGGUGAUGUUAAUCUGGCUAGAAAUCGCAAUGCAUUUUAAAAAAUGAAUCAAUGUGAAUUUACAGCAAUGGUUCAAAUGCACACACUUGGUGAAGGCGAAACGCUUUAAGGUAAGACAAAGACAGAGUUAUGGGGGUUUUACUUUUGAAAGUAAAUAUUUUAUUCUUACUUAAGGAGAAAAGGCUUUGAUGGCCUUCCCCAGCACACACAAAAGAUGAGAGAUGAGAACGAGUUCAUCGCCCCCGGCUCCGCUAUUUUGCAGAGACUCAGAGAGAGUGGAGAACAGAAAUAAGGAGAAUAAGGCAUGCCUUGUGUGAGCAGCUCCGGGGGCUUCCUCUCCCACGUGCCUGGGCAGAGUCUGUCUUCCUCUGGCGGACGUCUUCCUGCAAGAUUUGACUGGGCACCAUCUUCCAGAAAGCCUCCCCUUAACCCCCACGUCCAGCAUCAGCCAGACACACCUCCAGUCUGGACGCGCCGUCACGUCUGCCCAUCGUUACUGUAAUUAUCCGUCCCUUGUCUCCAGCCCCAGUUUUCUUGUCUGCACCUCACUGAUGGAGCUUACAACAGUCAUCUUUGGAUUUCAAAUAUGGUUCCUGUAGUAAAUGUUCAAUAGAAUUUCCUUUAAAAAUAAUUGAAUGCAUGGAUAGAAGUAAGAGCUUCUACAUGGAAAAGCAGAUAAAUGGAUAAUAAUAAGAAAUAAAUUUCACUUUUAAAUUGUUGUGAAAGAUCACAUUUGAUUUCUAGAUCAACUUGCUUUGGGCUAACCUCUUCAUUAAAAUAGCGAGUAAAGACCUACUUUUCUCGAAUAUACAUUUCUACGCAUGUUGCUUUCUCUUGUGGGUUGCAAACACGAGUCUACGGGGCAAAGGACUGUCAUCAGUAAGACAAUG
rnacentral:lncRNA from 1 species